rnacentral:rRNA from 1 species
CACAUGCAGUCGAGCGGAUGAAGAGAGCUUGCUCUCUGAUUCAGCGGCGGACGGGUGAGUAAUGCCUAGGAAUCUGCCUAUUAGUGGGGGACAACGUUUCGAAAGGAACGCUAAUACCGCAUACGUCCUACGGGAGAAAGCAGGGGACCUUCGGGCCUUGCGCUAAUAGAUGAGCCUAGGUCGGAUUAGCUAGUUGGUGAGGUAAUGGCUCACCAAGGCGACGAUCCGUAACUGGUCUGAGAGGAUGAUCAGUCACACUGGAACUGAGACACGGUCCAGACUCCUACGGGAGGCAGCAGUGGGGAAUAUUGGACAAUGGGCGAAAGCCUGAUCCAGCCAUGCCGCGUGUGUGAAGAAGGUCUUCGGAUUGUAAAGCACUUUAAGUUGGGAGGAAGGGCAUUAACCUAAUACGUUAGUGUUUUGACGUUACCGACAGAAUAAGCACCGGCUAACUUCGUGCCAGCAGCCGCGUAAUACGAAGGUGCAAGCGUUANUCGGAAUUACUGGGC